rnacentral:rRNA from 1 species
CAAUAGCGUAUAUUAAAGUUGUUGCAGUUAAAAAGCUCGUAGUUGGAUUUGUGGUGUACUUCGGCGGCCCGUCACUAUGUGAUGGAGCUUGCUGAAGUCGCCAUCCUUGGGUGGAUCCUGUGUGGCAUUAAGUUGUCGUGCAGGGGAUGCCCAUCGUUUACUGUGAAAAAAUUAGAGUGUUCAAAGCAGGCUUAUGCCGUUGAAUAUGUUAGCAUGGAAUAAUAAGAUAGGACCUUGGUACUAUUUUGUUGGCUUGCGCACCAAGGUAAUGAUUAAUAGGGACAGUUGGGGGUAUUCGUAUUUCAUUGUCAGAGGUGAAAUUCUUGGAUUUUUGAAAGACGAACUACUGCGAAAGCAUUUACCAAGGAUGUUUUCAUUAA